CACACCGACACCAAACACAAUUUAUAAGUUAUGAGGCUUCUUUACGGUCUGAUCUGACGGCGGAGAGCAGGAUUUAUUACAAGCUUACUUGUAAUUACAUAACUAACCUGUGUCUGCGUGUUGGCCCACAGGGAGACAACAUCCUCCUGAAAGAUGUUGGCAAUGUGAAGAUCUGUGAUCUGGGCUUGGCAGCCAGUUUAACAGACCCCAGUGCCAGGGUCCAAUGUGUGGGAACUUUGCAAUGGGACGGUGACUACAAUGAGCGCUGUGAUAUUUGGUCCCU
rnacentral:lncRNA from 1 species